UCGGACGCCCACCCCGUCGAAGAGGGAUAAACGAUGCACACCUCCUACUUUCUCUGGCCUUCCUUCCCCUCUUUUUACCAAUACCCCCGGUCAGGGCCACGCUUGAGCAGGGUCGCGAACAUCGGCAUAUCGUUGUUAUAGAGCAAACUCACUCUCUCUCCUUCUUACUCUAUCACAUUAUAGAAACGCUACUGAUUGCCUGAUGCCGACAUUUAUAGGGAGAAGGGAGGAGCUGUUAGUACUCCCUCGCUAUGCCGCCGCCCUUCUUUUCAUAAUCAGAAACAAGCUUCACGAAACGAAUCUCUCUUGCUUUAGUUGGCCAUGUAUGGAGUGGCCGAGUAGAUUAUGUGUUGAAUGUGAUUCAAUCCUGAAGGCUAUUUUAAUUGGAAGUAGUGAUGGGUUGUCUCAAGCAUUUCAAGCCGCAUCGAAUAUCUGAAUGUGGCGAAAAUUCAAAUCAGUUCGAAUACGAUUCAAUACCCUAAAACUUAUGAAAGUCUUGGACCUUGAAAGUCUUGGAGAUCUUGAAAGUUUUGCAACUCUUGUAAGUCUUAAAAGCUUAACGUGUAGUCAAUAUUUGACAGCAUUUUGAAUACUUUAAUCCAAAUACAUACAUUGGUAUAAAAUAUUAAAGAUAAGUAAAUAGAAAGUUUGAGAUAUUGGAAAUGCAUCUACGCGAACGAUUUCCAAGAGUUUUGAAGUAUUGAAUGAUAUUCGAAUCACUUCGAAUUUCAGCAUUCUUAAAAAACAUUGAAUCAUCUCAAAACUGACAAUGAAAUUCGAAUGCCCAUCAUAAGUUGUAUUUCUAUGCGAUACAAUCCUGCAAGCUACUUCAAUUGGAGGUUAUGAAUCUGUCGAUGUUUUUUCGAUCAAUCAUAUGUAUUUUCUAUACUUUUUUUAAGACUCAAUUCACGUAUUGAUUUCGUUAAAAAGUGGGUACUUCGUACAUAGCAACAGCAAUUUUUCAGCAAGGUGUAUAAAAAUAUCGAUAGGAAGGGAUUGAUAAUAUACAGAAUACAGAACGAUAUAAAAAUAAUUUACUUAACAAAAAGUAUAUAAUCUCAUACUGCUCCAAUUUGAGGUAGGUACCUGGAAAUAUUGAUGAGGUUUAAUUCAAUAAAGAGGAAUGGAUAUUAUAUGGAAGUGGUAUACAUUUGACAUGACAAAAAAUAACAUAUUUAUCUGGAAGGAAUGAGAUGUAAAAUAAGUCCAAUAUGGCUUUUAUUAAGUCAAUGAUAAUGACAAGUGAAAUAAAUUAAUCUCUAACAUCAACCGUAUGUCGUAAUUGCAUGAUGUUAGUAACAAUAAAUUAAAUAAGUAGUUACAUUUAAGUAAUCAGAUAAUCUACAUAUAGACUGUUUACUAAUAUACAUUAGCAAUUAACGUAAUUUAUAAAUAAAUUCUUCAAGAGUUCUAAAAAUAAUAUCGAGCUUACAAUCCAAUGGCGUGUAUGAUUAUGUCACAUGUAAUGUGUACCUAAACAGGGAAUUAUUCACAAUACAUGCUUGACGAUUUUGUUACAGCGAGUCUAAA